AUCAGUUGACGUACAGUCUCCGUGCUCACCACAUCUUUCCCUCUCGCCUUCAACAUGUUGUCUAAGGUAUGCGUUCUGUUUCUGGUGGUGGCAACAGUAGCGGGUGACCGCCCCACAUACCGCCCACCUCGCCCCACCUACAACGCACCCCGCCCGGCACCCACCCCCACCUACAGCGCCCCACGCCCCGCGCCCCGUCCCUCUUACCAAGACUCCUUCGAGGAUCCUAAGUACGACUUCGAGUGGCAGGUCGCUGAGGACGCCAACAACUUCCAGCAGCAGGAGUCCCGUGAUGGAGACGACACCAGAGGAUCCUACGUCGUCGACCUUCCCGACGGUCGCCGCCAGACUGUCACGUACUCCGUCGACGGUGACUCAGGGUUCAUCGCCGAGGUGAACUAUGAAGGCGAGGCUCGCUUCCCUGACUCCAGGGAGUACUCUGCUCCUCGUCCCGUGUACCAAGCUCCAGUUACCACUCCACGCCCAGUGUACCAGGCUCCAGCUACCACUCGUCGUCCGGCACCUCGUCCUACCACUCGUCGUCCUGCCCCUCGUCAGCAAUACAGAGCUCCUCGUCCUGCUUCUCGUCCCAGCGCGGCCAACAGCCUUCUGGCCGCCUAUGGUUUCUAAUUACCACGUCACUACCACUACGACUUCGACCUGACCACAUCUGCUCUAACCUAACCUCACUUACCAAUUAUCUUGACCUCUCCUACCUUGAUCAUAACUCAAGGGCUUACCUUGAGCUAUAACUUGGUCAUAAUUCCUAAAAUUGAAUAGAAUAACCUAUACAUUUACCAUUUACCCUAUCUAGAAAUUGAUGACUAAGAUCCCAAAUCACCAAAUACUGAAAGGAAUAACCUGAGCAUCGGGAACGCCUCAUCCAAUAGGCAUGAACGAUGGAACCAUCCGCUGCUGCCACACCGUGCGCCUUCUUCAUGACGAGGCGCCACGUCGUCAAAAUGCCUGCAUCGAAUGGUCACACGUCAGACCGAUUGUUUCGUGACGUGUUCCUGGUGCCUCAUGGUCUGCAUGUGACGAGCAGAGUGUCUGCGUGGGGUCUGAUGGUCGAGGUCUGAUGGUUGUGGUCUGAUGGUCGAGGCCUGAUGGCCGAGGCCUGAUGGUCGAGGCCUGAUGGUCGAGGUCUGAAGGUCGAGGUCUGAUGGUCGAGGUCUGAUGGUCGAGGUCUAAUGGUCGAGAGUCGUGCUGGCUUCAACAACGAACGUCGAACGAAUAAUUUUGUGCGAUUUAUUUAUUGCGUUUUGUAUUAUAUUGAAAACAUUGAGUUUCCUUGUUAGGGUGGAGCAAACUUGCCUGUAACAUGGAGCUUACAAAAAUAAAAUUGAAUUUUU
rnacentral:misc_RNA from 1 species